GCAGACACAUUCCAGCCAAUCAGCAGCAGACGCUCCCUCCCAGACCCUCCCACCUCCUGGACAGCAUCCAUUGUGAAGCUGCAUUCUUAGAGAGCAGUCCAGGAGGUGGGAGGGUCUGGGAGGGAGCGUCUGCUGCUGAUUGGCUGGAAUGUGUCUG